AUACGUAGGUGACAAGCGUUAUCCGGAUUUACUGGGUGUAAAGGGCGUGUAGGCGGUUUAGCAAGUCAGAAGUGAAAUUCCCGGGCUUAACUUGGGCGCUGCUUCUGAAACUGCUUUACUUGAGUGCGGGAGAGGAUAGUGGAAUUCCUAGGGUAGCGGUAAAAUGCGCAGGUAUUAGGAGGAACACCGGUGGCGAAGGCGGCUAUCUGGACAGUAACUGACGCUGAGGCGCGAAAGCACGGGGAGCAAACAGGAUUAGAUACCCUGGUAGUCCGUGCCGUAAACGAUGAAUACUAGGUGUAGGGGGUAUCGACUCCCUCUGUGCCGCAGUUAACACAUUAAGUAUUCCACCUGGGGAGUACGGCCGCAAGGUUGAAACUCAAAUGAAUUGACGGGG
rnacentral:rRNA from 1 species